rnacentral:rRNA from 1 species
GGAAGAAGAAAGACGGUACCUGACUAAGAAGCCCCGGCUAACUACGUGCCAGCAGCCGCGGUAAUACGUAGGGGGCAAGCGUUAUCCGGAUUUACUGGGUGUAAAGGGAGCGUAGACGGCUGUGCAAGUCUGAAGUGAAAGCCCAGGGCUCAACCCUGGGACUGCUUUGGAAACUGUGGAGCUAGAGUGCUGGAGAGGUAAGUGGAAUUCCUAGUGUAGCGGUGAAAUGCGUAGAUAUUAGGAGGAACACCAGUGGCGAAGGCGGCUUACUGGACAGUAACUGACGUUGAGGCUCGAAAGCGUGGGGAGCAAACAGGAUUAGAUACCCUGGUAGUCCACGCGGUAAACGAUGAAUACUAGGUGUUGGAGAGCAAAGCUUUUCG